AGAGUUUGAUCCUGGCUCAGAUUGAACGCUGGCGGCAUGCCUUACACAUGCAAGUCGAACGGCAGCACGGGUGCUUGCACCUGGUGGCGAGUGGCGAACGGGUGAGUAAUAUAUCGGAACGUACCCUAGAGUGGGGGAUAACGUAGCGAAAGUUACGCUAAUACCGCAUACGAUCUACGGAUGAAAGUGGGGGAUCGCAAGACCUCAUGCUCAUGGAGCGGCCGAUAUCUGAUUAGCCAGUUGGUGGGGUAAAAGCCUACCAAGGCGACGAUCAGUAGCUGGUCUGAGAGGACGACCAGCCACACUGGAACUGAGACACGGUCCAGACUCCUACGGGAGGCAGCAGUGGGGAAUUUUGGACAAUGGGGGCAACCCUGAUCCAGCAAUGCCGCGUGAGUGAAGAAGGCCUUCGGGUUGUAAAGCUCUUUUGUCAGGGAAGAAACGGGAUUUUCUAAUACAAAGUCCUAAUGACGGUACCUGAAGAAUAAGCACCGGCUAACUACGUGCCAGCAGCCGCGGUAAUACGUAGGGUGCAAGCGUUAAUCGGAAUUACUGGGCGUAAAGCGUGCGCAGGCGGUUGUGCAAGACAGAUGUGAAAUCCCCGGGCUCAACCUGGGAAUUGCAUUUGUGACUGCACGGCUAGAGUGUGUCAGAGGGGGGUAGAAUUCCACGUGUAGCAGUGAAAUGCGUAGAGAUGUGGAGGAAUACCGAUGGCGAAGGCAGCCCCCUGGGAUAACACUGACGCUCAUGCACGAAAGCGUGGGGAGCAAACAGGAUUAGAUACCCUGGUAGUCCACGCCCUAAACGAUGUCUACUAGUUGUCGGGUCUUAAUUGACUUGGUAACGCAGCUAACGCGUGAAGUAGACCGCCUGGGGAGUACGGUCGCAAGAUUAAAACUCAAAGGAAUUGACGGGGACCCGCACAAGCGGUGGAUGAUGUGGAUUAAUUCGAUGCAACGCGAAAAACCUUACCUACCCUUGACAUGUACGGAACUUACCAGAGAUGGUUUGGUGCUCGAAAGAGAACCGUAACACAGGUGCUGCAUGGCUGUCGUCAGCUCGUGUCGUGAGAUGUUGGGUUAAGUCCCGCAACGAGCGCAACCCUUGUCAUUAGUUGCUACGAAAGGGCACUCUAAUGAGACUGCCGGUGACAAACCGGAGGAAGGUGGGGAUGACGUCAAGUCCUCAUGGCCCUUAUGGGUAGGGCUUCACACGUCAUACAAUGGUACAUACAGAGGGCCGCCAACCCGCGAGGGGGAGCUAAUCCCAGAAAGUGUAUCGUAGUCCGGAUUGUAGUCUGCAACUCGACUACAUGAAGUUGGAAUCGCUAGUAAUCGCGGAUCAGCAUGUCGCGGUGAAUACGUUCCCGGGUCUUGUACACACCGCCCGUCACACCAUGGGAGCGGGUUUCACCAGAAGUAGGUAGCCUAACCGCAAGGAGGGCGCUUACCACGGUGGGAUUCGUGACUGGGGUGAAGUCGUAACAAGGUA
rnacentral:rRNA from 1 species